rnacentral:rRNA from 1 species
UACGUAGGGUGCAAGCGUUAAUCGGAAUUACUGGGCGUAAAGCGCACGUAGGCGGCUUGGUAUGUCGGGUGUGAAAUCCCCGGGCUCAACCUGGGAACUGCAUCCGAAACUGCCUUGCUCGAGUAUGGGAGAGGGAAGUGGAAUUUCCGGUGUAGCGGUGAAAUGCGUAGAUAUCGGAAGGAACAUCAGUGGCGAAGGCGACUUCCUGGACCAAUACUGACGCUCAGGUGCGAAAGCGUGGGGAGCAAACGGG